rnacentral:rRNA from 1 species
UACGUAGGGUGCAAGCGUUAAUCGGAAUACUGGGCGUAAAAGCGUGCGCAGGCGGUUCGCUAAGACAGAUGUGAAAAUCCCCGGGCUUAACCUGGGAACUGCAUUUGUGACUGGCGGGCUAGAGUAUGGCAGAGGGGGGUAGAAUUCCACGUGUAGCAGUGAAAUGCGUAGAGAUGUGGAGGAAUACCGAUGGCGAAGGCAGCCCCCUGGGCCAAUACUGACGCUGAGGAGCGAAAGCCAGGGGAGCAAACGGG